rnacentral:rRNA from 1 species
UACGUAGGGUGCAAGCGUUAUCCGGAAUUAUUGGGCGUAAGGCGCGUGUAGGCGGCUUUGCAAGUCGGGUGUGAAAGCCCUCAGCUCAACUGAGGAAGUGCGCCCGAAACUGCAGAGCUUGAGUGCCGGAGAGGGUGGCGGAAUUCCCCAAGUAGAGGUGAAAUUCGUAGAUAUGGGGAGGAACACCGGUGGCGAAGGCGGCCACCUGGACGGUAACUGACGCUGAGACGCGAAAGCGUGGGGAGCAAACAGG